rnacentral:miRNA from 1 species
UGUGUAUAUUAUAUAUAUAUAUACGUGUGUGUGUGUGUGUGUGUGUGUAUGUAUGAAACAUAGUGUGCAGAUAUCUGAUGCAUUAUA